CGCGGCUUCGCGGGAGAGUGGCCCGGCCUGAGUACCGGUCGCGGGUCCGCCGAAGGCGCAAGCUCCCAGAAUCGCUCAGGCAAACGAACCGCGAAGCCAGU
rnacentral:ncRNA from 2 species